rnacentral:lncRNA from 1 species
ACUGAAGUUGGAGUCACGUGACUUCAAAGUUUGUGGAAAGUUUUUCCCCUUUUUUUGUGUUCUGUGUGUGCGUCAAGGAUCCAGAGGUGAGUCCUUCAAAGUUGUCAACUUCGUUUCUCCUCAGCUGGUUUGGAGCUGCCUUUCCACCUACUUUCACAAAAAGCAAUAGCAUCUCUGAAUGGGGCCGUGUGGAGAAACCCUAAGAAAAACAGCAUAAGAGCAUUUUGGAAUAUAUCCCGCAAAAGAUAACUUUCUACACAUCUGGCAGAGAUUCUCCAGGUAAAGAUUCUAGAAACCAGUCAGAACAUCCAGGAGGCACUUCACAUACCGUGACUAAAAUCAAGACUCUGAUUUCUAUAAAGAAGAACCGUGAUGGGACAUCAGUUUCCAGGAAACAGAAACGAAGAGGGAUGAUGCCCACGUGCAGUCUUGACUCUCUCACUUGUUUCUGGCAUUUCAGCCCUGGAUUAUAGACCUGGCAGAUCCUGCGGGCAGGUGUGUUGAGCAUAUUCUGAGUAGGGUGUAAAGGCCCAUUUCUGUUGUAAACAGUGGUUUAAACCGCCAUCUCCGUUUUUCAGACCUUUUCAUUUGUUUGCAUAUUUUGCAGAAACCAGG